rnacentral:rRNA from 1 species
AUGGCUUUCCAACGGUCCUCUCGUUUCCACGCGUCCGCCACCUCCAACGGGCCAAUCCAUGGCCGGCGCGCCGGCGCUGCCCAAACCCAGCCCCAGCCACACCCGUCGGGCGAUUACCCCGAUCUCCGACGGCCAGAUAGAGCCCAUACUCCAUAUCCCUCCUACCGUGAGGCCCUGGUCGCGGGGUUCUCUGCGGACGUGCCUCUGCCCGGUCGGUCCUGCCCUGCUUCGGCGGAUCUUGAACCGGACGAGGCGGGUUGGAUUCAAGUUCGCAACCGUCGCCGUCAGCGCUGUUUGGAGGAAUCCCCGUCCGCCGCGUGCCAACCUGUGCGCUCCGGGUCAAGGAUUCCGCGGUGGUUAUUGGGCAGGUGCUUCAAGUGCUUGGACUCGGGCCACCGCAUUGCUAAGUGCACAGGGGAGAUUAGGUGCCACCGCUGCUGGCUCCCAGGUCACAUAGCUAGAAGUUGCCACUCCCACCAAGCUGCUGCUCCCCCUGUUCCACUCCCUCCCAGUUCCGCAAAUAGUCGCGCCGCCUCUGGUCGUCCCGUCCAGAUCCACGCCCCUCAUCGUCGGCCGCCUCCGCGCGAUAUGGCACACUACCCACCCCUCGCCCAGUCCCGCUUCCCUGGGGAGCUCUACACCCAUGGGGACCCGGAUUUGCGGCCAGAAAGGGGUGGGGGCAUCAUCUCGCGCUCUCCGGGGAUGGACGCUCUGGAAGCUGAUUUCAGGAAUCGAGCUUUGCUGGCUUCGGUUCAGGGGCGGAGGCCAGCGGUCUCGCCGGAGGCUUUGGUCCAAGCCUUGGCCGGGUUCUGA